GACGAACGCUGGCGGCGUGCCUAAUACAUGCAAGUCGAACGAGAGCGCCCGGUGCUUGCACUGGUCAAUCUAGUGGCGAACGGGUGAGUAACACGUGGGUAACCUGCCCAUCAGAGGGGGAUAACAUCCGGAAACGGAUGCUAAAACCGCAUAGGUCUUCGAGCCGCAUGGCUUGAAGAGGAAAAGAGGCGCAAGCUUCUGCUGAUGGAUGGACCCGCGGUGCAUUAGCUAGAUGGUGAGGUAACGGCUCACCAAGGCCGUGAUGCAUAGCCGACCUGAGAGGGUGAUCGGCCACAUUGGGACUGAGACACGGCCCAAACUCCUACGGGAGGCAGCAGUAGGGAAUCUUCCGCAAUGGACGCAAGUCUGACGGAGCAACGCCGCGUGAGUGAAGAAGGUGUUCGGAUCGUAAAACUCUGUUGUUAGAGAAGAACAAGUGCUAGAGUAACUGUUAGCGCCUUGACGGUAACUAACCAGAAAGCCACGGCUAACUACGUG
rnacentral:rRNA from 1 species